AUGUAGGGAGAGGCAGCUGAUCACACCUAUCCCUGCUCCUUUUUCUGGUUGUUUUGCUAUGAUUGUUGUGGCUGUGGUACUCUGGUUUGACAUUUUAUGUUGUUAACCUAGCUCUGAAAAUGUCACACUUAUUAUCGAGGAAAUCUAAAUGUCAUCAUCCUUGACUGCAGGGAUCUCCGUCAAUCAGGAACUAUGAAGACAACUUGCUUAGCUCUUACCCCUUCAUUUUUAACUUAGCAACAUUCAUGAACUGCAGAACCUCACAAAUUAAUAGAGGAAAGCUAGGAUUGCAAUGCCUUCGGUAAUAUUCCGAAAUUGAUUUUCCUGAAAGGUUUAUUUUCCUUGAAGUCACCAACAGAAUUGAUCCAUCACACCGUGAGGGCAACGAUCACCAGUGCAUCAUGCAUUUCUCAG
rnacentral:lncRNA from 11 species